UACGAGAAAAUCUACCCAAAAAACUGAAGAGAUUGGUGUUUCAUGGAGGAGGUGGGAGAAGACACUUGGAAAAAGAGAAGGAGAGAGAGAGACUGGUGGACUCCUGGUGACUGUGUGGCUGGUUUGUAUGUUUGAGUCAGAGCAUAAUGGUGAACUGCAGAACCAUCAAGCCUCUGAACGCAGCGAUCAGUCUGGACGAGGAGCUCACCUCAGCAGGUCGUGUUCCCAGCGGCACCAAGGGGUCUCCUCUUCCUUUCACUGUCAUUUCAAAGCGCGCUCACGCAGAGGGCCUCUGCUGGCUCGUGUCCCGUGACAGAUUUCCCAACAGCUGGUCAGACCUGGACUCCUGAUUGGCUCUGAUCCGGCAAAAACAUUGUCAUCAGCUCUGUACUGUUUGGUUGUGUUUGGUUGUAUUUUAACUCUUUACUCUGGCUGUUUGUUUUCUUUUCUAUGUAAAGACGGUAACCUUUUCCAUGGUGAACAACAUGCCCAUGUCUCACCACCACUACUACUAACUUAAAGAGAUUUUAAGUGUAAGAAACUGACUACUGUGCUGUAUUAUUGGACUGAAGACUUUUGAGGUUUUUAUGAAAUAAAAUCCAUUGCGUUCAUAUUUCCAGAGGCAAGUGUGUACGUUUUCUACUGUCUUAGUUAUAUCACUUGUAAAUGUGCAGCUGAACAUCACAUGACAUGAAUGAAGUGUGGAUGAACACUGAGAGGUGAAGAUGCUGCUUCUUUCAGGUGUUUCUUUCUCAGACAGCUUUGGUACAUUUUGUAAGUUUGUACUUUUAUUUGUUGUUUUAUCUUUAUUUUUAAAACCAGUAUGUUAUGUUACUCUGCUGCUUAAAGGGGCAUUUUAACAUUUUAGGAAUCAUUUAAUUCAAGGUAGAAGAGAAGGUUGAUAUCACUUACAUACUAGACGUUACAGCUAGCAGCCAGUCAGCUUAGCUUAGCAUAGCAUUAAUGUGUAAACAUGGGGAAACAGCUAGCCUGCCACUUUGAUUUAAACUCCCCGUAACACUGAAGAGUUGACAUUUUCUUGACUUUACUUUUUAAUAAAUUACACUGAUGGGUCUUUGUUACUUUGGGACAGAGCCAGGCUUGCUUUUUACCCAUUUCUAAUCUUCAUGCUAAGCUAAUUGCUGCUGCUGCUGCUGCUGCUGUAUAUUAUUUGGCCAAUUAUAAACUAAACAAGGAAGAAAAUAUGCCACAAAAUGUCAACCUUGCCCCUAAAAUCUCUGCUCUUUUCUUCACAAGUGUCCACUCUAAAAAUAGUUGGGAUGUUGGUGAUAACUUUGCUAAUUGUCUUUGUGUUGAUUUUCUCUCUUGUUGUCUUAGGGGUUCAGUUUAUUGUACCUUUAAUGGCCUUUAUAGGCUAAUAAAAGUUCUUGUCUCCACUUCGUAAACUGCUAACUAACAUUUGGAAACGCUUACUGUCCCAUUAAGGAGGUACACUGGAGUGAAGAGCUGCACAGAAAUGUUCUACCUGGAUGCUCUGUCACAUCCCAGCUCUUGAAGAAUUUAGUGGUUAAUAGUCUUUUACUUUGAUCUGAAGAGAAGCGGUGCCUUCACAGCUCUCCUUGUGUUGCAGCUCCGUCAUUAUGGCACAUAAAAACAACUUGGCCACCAAUGGAUGUAUUCAUCUUUUGAUUGUCAAAAUAAUACAGAACGUUUGAACUAAAA